GCCUCGGUAUUGUAAUGGAUCAGUACGGCAGACCGGAUAUCUGUAGGUGCGGGUUCGAGUCCCGCCUACGGUU
rnacentral:tRNA from 1 species